rnacentral:tRNA from 1 species
AAAGAAGUCAGCUAAUUAAGCUUUUAGGUUCAUACCCUAAUUAUAAAAGAUGAUCUUUUCUUCUUUA